CCCACCCCCAGAUUCCUUCCAGCCUGGGCUUCCCCCAUCACCACCCACGUGGGUCAUCUGGACAGGCAGCUGGAUCAGAGCGCACAGCUGGCGGGGGGGGGGGCGGGAGAAGAAGCGCAGCUAACGUCUGGCCUAACGUGAAAUAUUGGCAUCGUAACCCUAAUAAUAGCUGCAUUGAGUACUGCUACUGUUCCCUACAACGUGGAUAAGGCAUGAAAAAGCCUUGCAGAUUAAAACGGGAUGGAGCGAUUCCCCCUAUGAGGAAAGGUUUGGGGGUUUUUUCGUUUAGAGGAAAGACGACUAAGAUGUGGCAUGAUAGAAGUUUAUAAAAUGAUGUUUGGCACAGAAAGAGUGAGUAGAGAAAAUGUUUUUUUCUCCCUCUCUCAUUACACUAGAAUUUAUGGACACCCUAUGAAGCUGAUAAAUAAAAACCAUAUUCCAAAGAUUUCAGGGCAAACUGAGAGAUUAUUUGGCACCACUCAAUCCACUUGAACCCACCUAAAACACUUGGGGGAGAUGGAAUAGGGUGGCACCCUUACCAAUUUUAAGUCACCUCUAGGAGGAAGGAAAAAGCACUUUAUACAAACUAAACUCUCAAGUCAUUGGUUCGGAUUAUGCAUGCGAGUCCAAAGUUUGCAUGUUAAUCAUCAACAGGUUAUUUGGUUCCCAAAACCUGCAGGCAGCCACAGGAUGCUUCUACCCAUGUCCAGAAUACUUUCUGCUGGCUGUGGAGCUUGCAGUCAUUCUACAUUGGUCUAGAAUUCAGGAUUAUGCAGGCUAGGGUCCAGAUACCUCAAUAUCAAUAUGAUUUCCAGUAACUGGCAUUCAGAAGCAUCAUUGCCUCCAACCAUGGAGGCAGAGAAAACCAUCAGAGCUAGUAGCCAUUGCAGCAUGUGAAGAAGUCCUUUUGUCUUUCCUGAAUCUUCCAACAUUCAGUUUCAUUGGAUGACUCCCCCCCCCCCGUCCUGGUAUUACAGCGGAGGAAAAACUUCUCUGUCCACUUUCUGUUCAUACCAUUUAUGUUUGGCACUGUUCUCGUAUUUAAAAACUCUGCAGGUCUCCCCUCUUUCCCCCAACCUCUCUACCUUCCUAAACAUCUGCUUUUCUGCUGGGCAGGAGGGAAGCUUAAUAAAAUGCAUACAAUAUGUACAGUGCAUUAGGAGAACUCAGCUGUGCAGCUAGAUCUAUCAGACCUUGGCUGACAGCUGAACCUGGGACGUGUCACAGCAGAGAGAUGAGAGUCUGCUAAUAAAAGCAAGUUAAACACACCAAGCAGUACCUGGAGACAGCUCACGCAAUGCUAGCCUCCAAAUCUAUAUAUUUGAACGGGGAUCAAAGGCAUGCAUCAGCAACAGUGCAGAAAUGGAACUGCCUGGAUUUGGAAGAUUAAAGGGCGAUCAAUGAGCCGACAGGUUGAAAUGGAUUGCUCUCAGUUCGGACAUGAAGCAUUUGUGCAUAUAUGUAGUACUCUCUGUCAUCCCAAAUUAACCUCAUAAUUCUACAUAUGUAGUAAGUUUUUUGUGUACAUUUAAUUCUGCACCUUCAAGAGCAGCAUGACCUGAAAUAAUGUAGCAGGUGGAGUUUCCUGGCUGGAGUUUGUGGGGUGGGGUGCUCAUUCAUGAGCUGGGGGCUGUUAACAUCUACUCUGGGAACGAAGUUCCAGACCCUUUGGAAGCCUACAGCUCUAUUUCAGAAAUUUGUGCAGAGAGUCUUUGGGAGGUUGAAUUGAACUAAGACUUGGGAGACCAAGGUUCAAAUCCCCACUCAACCAUGAAGCUCACUGGGUGACCUUGAGCCAAUCACUACGUCUCAGCCUAGCCUACGUCACAGGCCUGUUUUGGGGAUUAAAUGAGAGGUAAGCCUUUGCUGUAUUCAGUGAUCACACAAAGGUAAAUGGAUAUAGAAUUGCAGCCUUGGUCUCACUUAUGAAAUAAGAAUUAAGAGACCCAGGGUGUAGAUUUUUUGAUUUUAAAAAUGUUCUAUUAAUUGCAUUUAGCCAAUGACUAGAAUGCAUCCAUGAAUGAUUGCUGCAUGCCUGCACUUUGUGACUCAUGCCUCCUUCCUACGUAGCAUUCCAUCUCUCCUAUCUGACCCUGAAAGUGGCACAACUGGAAGGAUGUGUUCCUAUGUCUGUCGUGCGUUCGCAUCCGCAUCUCCUUGAGAAGUUCCAGGGACAGAUACAGGAAAAGAACGUCAAGAGCCUCCACUGAAGGUCUGGUUGUCUAGACAACUGCCUGAUAAGUUGUAAGUUGAGACCACAUGUUUUGGAACACCCCAAGGAAAUUGAUCUCAUUAUGAAGCCGUGCGUAUUUAACAUCCCAUGACCGCUAACCUUUCUUUAUGUAGAAGGACGUUUAAAGAUGUUUUGAUGACUGUGUGCUGUGUGUUAGCGGCCUACAUAAGCUUUGUUCUGAAGUAUCUCCGAGUCUCUGCCCCA